GGGACAGUAGCUCAAUGGUAGAGCAGUUGCCUUUUAAGCAAUUGGUUCGGGGUUCGAGCCCCCGCUGUCCCACCA
rnacentral:tRNA from 1 species